rnacentral:rRNA from 1 species
UACGUAGGGGGCGAGCGUUGUCCGGAUUUAUUGGGCGUAAAGGGCGUGUAGGCGGGAAGGAAAGUCAGAUGUGAAAUCCCUGGGCUCAACCCAGGAACUGCAUUUGAAACUCCCUUUCUUGAGUGUCGGAGAGGAAAGUGGAAUUCCUGGUGUAGAGGUGAAAUUCGUAGAUAUCAGGAGGAACACCGGUGGCGAAGGCGGCUUUCUGGUCUGUAACUGACACUGAGGCGCGAAAGCGUGGGGAGCGAACAGG